AAUUGGGUUUGAAUCUCCUACACGUGCGCUCUCCUCUCAUCUCUCAUCUCUCAUCCCUCCUUUCUCUCCUUCUACUGGAAAACCCACAAUCUUUGAUCUUCCUCUGCUCUUCCAUUCUCUCCGCUCCCCAUAUCUCUCGAUGUGAAGCCCACAAACCAAGUAGUGACGUUUGAAAGCCUCAAACAUGGCGGCACGAAAUGGAGGUACAGUGACGGUCGACAACCGCCUCCGUUGGCGAUGAAUUUGGCCGUCAGAAAGGGUCUUAUGAUAUGUCAAUUAUUCUUUUUGCGUUUGAUUGGGAGUAUAUAAAUUACGGUUUUUGGGGAUUUUACUCAAAUGAAAACUGACUUUUCUGUUGCCGGCGACCUCUGCUUGCUUGCUCCCUUUCUCAGUCGAUGAGUUUAUAAGAAAGGGACAGGGUAGGGGUGGUUUGAACUGCAGGAUGGGUUCUUCCUAAUCAUACUUAACUUAAGAAGAUGAUUGUCAUCUGUACCAGCAUACUAAAAUCAUUUGUGCACUCCGUGUGCUAAACUGCAUCCUACCCUGCAUUCAUGUUAAAAUCAUUGAGAAGAAGAUGGCUACUCAAAUCUAAAAGUUACUUAAAGGUCUUAUUUACAUCGGGCAGGCUUUCACCGGACUCAAGAAUUUUGAAAAAAGCGCAAGCGACCUUUUCAAAAUUCUCCUGCAGAAAUUAACUGAUCUUUAAUCCCCUUGAGUCUGAGCAUGAACUUGUCCACAUAAUCUCCUCCUUUCUGUGUAAUGUGAAAUUCUGUCUUCAGUUGAUUCAAACGAACCAUUGUUACUGAUGCAAAUCUUUCUUGUAGGCAGUUCCUGGCUUCUUGUGAACUCUUUCAUCCAAUGACAUGCUCUAUAGCAUCAUUGGAAAGAGUAGCAAAAGCAAAAGAGUUUAUGUGCGUUGUAGAAACCAGAAAACAAAAGAACCUGAUGGUGGUCGAAAUCUUGACCCAAAUCACAAAAAAGCACAAAUCUUAAUCCAAGAACUUCAAAGAACCCAGCGGAAGACCGACACUGAGGACUGUCCCGCGAGUGAUACCAUGAUAACAGAAGUGAAGGAUUGCUGAGAAUGUAACAAUGUUGCAGAGAAAGUAACAAGCAAAGAAGAGAGAAGAACAACUCUUGAGAGAGAAAGAGAGAAAAUGUAAAUUGUAUUUCUGUAUUGCUUAAUCGAAAUGAUCAGAGUUAUUACUCUGUUUAUAUA